rnacentral:sRNA from 1 species
UGAAUUCAUCUCGAGUCUAGCCAAAAAAU